rnacentral:rRNA from 1 species
AUUGAACGCUGGCGGCAGGCCUAACACAUGCAAGUCGAGCGGAUGACGCGAGCUUGCUUCUGGCUUCAGCGGCGGACGGGUGAGUAACGCCUAGGAAUCUGCCUGGUAGUGGGGGAUAACGUCCGGAAACGGGCGCUAAUACCGCAUACGUCCUGAGGGAGAAAGUGGGGGACCCUCGGACCUCACGCUAUCAGAUUAGCCUAGGUCGGAUUAGCUAGUUGGUUGGGUAAAGGCCUACCAAUGCGACGAGCCGUAACUGGUCAGAGAGGAUGAUCAGUCACGCUGGGACUGAAAGACGGUCCAGACUCCGACGGGAAGCAGCAGUGGGGAAUAUUGGACGAUGGGAGAGAGCCAGAUCCAGCAAUGCCGCGUGUGUUGAGAAGGUCAUCGGGUGUUGAAGCACUUUGAGUUGGGAGGAAGAGCAGUAAGUUAAUAACUUGCUGUUUUGACGUUACCAGCAGAAUAAGCACCGGCUAACUUCGUG